AUACGGAGGAUGCGAGCGUUAUCCGGAUUUAUUGGGUUUAAAGGGAGCGUAGGUGGGAUAUUAAGUCAGCUGUGAAAGUUUGGGGCUCAACCUUAAAAUUGCAGUUGAUACUGGUUUCCUUGAGUACGGUACAGGUGGGCGGAAUUCGUGGUGUAGCGGUGAAAUGCUUAGAUAUCACGAAGAACUCCGAUCGCGAAGGCAGCUCACCGGGCCGGAACUGACACUGAUGCUCGAAAGUGCGGGUAUCAAACAGGAUUAGAUUCCCUGGUAGUCCGCACAGUAAACGAUGAAUACUCGCUGUUUGCGAUACACGGUAAGCGGCCAAGCGAAAGCGUUAAGUAUUCCACCUGGGGAGUACGCCGGCAACGGUGAAACUCAAAGGAAUUGACGGGG
rnacentral:rRNA from 1 species